CUGUUUUCAUAAACAUUGUAGAUCAGGCACCACGAUUCGUGAAAAUGUUGCAGCAUCUCAAUGGCCUCAACAGUUUGGGAGCUUUUGCCUUUGAACGUUGAAUGUCAAACAUUUGAACGUUUUAUGCUAAAAACGCUACUUGACUUCUCAUUUUUUAGUAAAAUCAUCUGGCUCGACAUAGUAUGCAGUAAGCCACCACGUCGAAAUGAAGAAAAGAAGAAGAAGAAGAAGAAGAAGAAGAAGAAGAAGAAGAAGAAGAAGAAGAAGAAGAAGAAGAGAAAGAAGAAGAAGAAGAAGAAGAAGAAGAAGAAGAAGAAGAAGAAGAAGAAGAAAGAAGGAAAGAUCAAUUUCCCGUCAUUGUUCUUAUUUUUCUCUUCUGUGUCUCUGUUCUUUUGCCAUUCAUCUAGACAACAGGUUAGUGUAUUGUCUCAAGGUUGAAAGAAGAUAAUUUCAGAUCAAAUAUUAAGAUCUAUAAACAACUAUUUUUUAAAACUACAAACAUAAGGAAAUAUGAGUUAAAUGUUUUUUCCAUGGAAAGCCUUCAUUUUAUGCCUGUUUUUAUACUUGAAACAUCACAAAUAGAUCAACUUUUUUUGAAAUUAUUGAGCUGUUUGGACCGUGGAGGUGCCAUGGUAAUGGCAUUAAAUUCUACCCUUAGAUUUCAUUUUAGAUGAGAAAGUUAUAUAUGCAGUAUGACGACAGGUGCUAAAUGGAGGAGGGCUUCCUAAGAGCCUGAGAGGUUGAUGAGACAGCCAGGGGAAGGCAGGGGUGUGGGCUGCAGGAAAUAGCAUAAAAGGAGAUAUUGUAUUGUCAAAGGAACCUCCAACUGGUGAGGAAAGUGAGAAGAAGAAACUUGAACUUUCUCCUUUCAGUCAAGUGUUCCAGCAUAAAUUUCCUAAUUUUUGACUGUGUCUCUGUAUUACCUGUACUAUUACUACUCACUUCACAUUUUUUCUUACAUUUAAUAUAAAAAGAAAACAAAAUCACUACCUUAAAUGGAAAGCCAACAACACUUGCUUCGAAAAAAAGUGGGGGAGGAAACUAUUAAAAUAAAUAUAAUGGAAAAUAAGAAAUAUUAUUAAAUUAUAGCUAGCUCUCAUUGCCUGCUCCGGGCUUCUAGUCUAAGGCCUACUCUAUUUUUUUUCUUGGUGUAAUCUGAAGGAUUAAGAAAACUGAUAUCAUUUAUGUGCAGUUUGAAAACCUGCCAAAUAAUACAAUAUGCUGUUUACACCUGUGUAAAUAUGUAAUAAACUAUACAAAGCAUGGAUACAGGCAGAAAGGAUACAGAUUAACUUCAGGAUAAUGAGAAAAGAGGAAAAAGAAAAGGAGGCUCCAACAAUGAUACCUAAUUUUUUUGCUAAAGAUUUCUGCCAGGCAUGGUGGCUCACACCCGUAAUCCCAACAUUUGGGAGGCCAGGGUGGGAGGAUGGUUUGAGUCCAGAAGUUCGAGACCAGCCUGGGCAACAUGGCAGGACCCCCAUCUCUACAAAAAAUACUAAAAUUAGGUGAGCCUAGUGGCACACGCCUGUAAUCCCAGCUUCUAGGGUGGCUGAGGUGGAAGGAUUGCUUGAGUCCAGGAGGUUGAGGCUGCAGUGAGCCAAGAUAAGCCACUGUACUCCAGCCUGGGUGACAGAGGGAGACCUUGUCUUUGAAAAACUGAAUAGAAAAAGUGAAUAAAUAAUACUAUGCUGCAGGUAUUCUUCUAAGCAUUUGCUAUGAUCUGAUGUUUGUGUCCUUUCGAAAUUUAAAUGUUGAAGCCUAACCCCCAUAGUGAUAGUAUUAAGAGGUGGAGCCUUUAAGAGGUGAUCAUGAGGGCAGAUUCUUCAUGAAUGGGGUUAGUGCCCUGAGAAAAGAAGCUUGAGGGAGGCUGUUCGCCCAUGAGGACACAUAGAAGCUGCCAUCUAUGAAAAAGAAGCCCUCGGCAGAUUUCACAUCUGCUGAUAUCUCGAUCUUGGACUUUCUAGCCUCAGAACUGUGAUCAAUUCUGCUUCUGUCGUUUAUAAAUUACCUAGUCUAAGAUGUUUAAGUAAUUUAAAUAACAUGGAGAAUAAAUCCAAAAGGUCCUAUUCAUCUGAUAGGAUAUCUAGAGAAUGGAUGGAAGGAAAUACUCAAAAAAUGAUUGAAAAUAUUCCAGUAUCUUUAAGUACAAAGCUCUCUUUUAGCUCAGCGCCAAAUAUAUAGGUAAAAAAUAACACACUUAAACACCUCAUAGUGAGAUUUCAGAGCACGAAGGAUAAAAAGAAGAUCUUAACUAGAUUACCUUCUCAUCAGCAACAACGGAUGCUAAUAGACAAGGGAACAGUAUUCUAAGGGAAUCAUUGUGGUGGCGUUUUCUCUUGUUUUGUUUUGUUUUUGAGACAGGGUCUGGCUUUGUCACCCAGGCUGGAGUGCAGGAGUGCAAUCAUGGCUGGCUCAUUGCAGGAGCUCAGUGAGUUCAAGUGAUCCCCCCACCUUAACCACCUCAACCCCACCACCACCCCAGCACAAUGGCGGGACUACAAGUGCUGGCUGCCAUCCCUAGCUAUUUUUUUUUUCUUUUUUUGUAGAAAUGGAGUCUCACUGUUUCCUAGGCUGGUCUCAAACUCCUGGGUUCCCACCUUGGCUUCCCAAAAUGUUGGAAUUACAGGUGCAAGCCACCACACCUGGCUUCUAAGGGAAUUGUUUUUAACCUGGACUACCAAACUACAUUAGCACUUAAGAGAGGGUACAAAAUAAUGACAGAUAUUUUCAGACAUGUAAGAAUUCAGAUUGCUGCCCAUCCUUGAAAUUGCUGUUAGAGUAUGUCUUCCACCAAAGAGUAAACUGGAUCCCAAAAGAAAGUGUGUGAUAGAAAAGACAAUGACAAAAGUGGCAAACCCUGUUUGUUGCCCACUCAAAGCCAUUCUCUUUCUUCCUUACGAGUAAAACACUGAUUUUGAUAAUUUACCCUCCUCCGUGUGUAUAAAAAAUAUGGGUUCUCUCCAGCCCCAGAAAGUGAAUAUUAAAUGGUCUAAACUCAUCACAGUAAUUCUAUUCUCUCUCCUAAUGAUUGGCUUAGACAUCAGCAUAUCAUUCAACACUGACUAAUGAGAAAUGCAGAGAAGCCUGGUGGGGUUAUAGAAAUGGUUUUCCUCUUUGAAAGGUGAAAAAAGAAAAGGAAGUAAGGAACAGGGAAGGAAGAUCGGAAGAAAUGAAGGAAGAAGGAAGGAAGAGAAGACAAAUCGAGAAAUGGAAGGAGAAGCUCUUUUCUCAUGGUAGCUAUGCUGAAGAUGAUUUCCAAUGAGCCUCAUUUUCUGGUAUUCACACCCUUCCUUGUGUGGAUCCCUCCAACACAGAAUACAGAGGACUUCCAAAGCUGGGUAAUAAAAGGCAUUUCAGCUUUUACCUUGCUUGCUCUCUUGGUUCACUUGCUCUAAGGCAGGAUUUCUCAACAUUAGCUCUAUUGACAUUUGGGGCCUGAUAAUUCAUGUGGUGAAGAGCUGUCUUGUGCAGUAUAAGAUGUUUAGCAGUAACUCUAUUUCCAACCCACAAGAUAUCAAUAGCAACUUUCCAGUCGUGACAACCAAACAUGUCUCCAGAUAUUGCUAAAUGCCCCCUGGUGAGAAAAAUCACCCAGUAUAAAAACCAGUGCUCUAUGGGAAGCCAGCCAUCUUGUCCUGCAGAUACUCAUGCAGCCUGCUGCCAUGUUGGUGAGCCACUUUAAAGUGGAUCUCCAGCCCCAAUCAAGCCUUCAGAUGACUGCAGUCCCAGCUGAUUCUAACUGCAACCUCAUGAGACAUCCUAAGCUAGAACCACCCAACCAGUCUGCUCCCAAAUCCCUGACCCAUAGAAACCAUAUUAUUAAAAUAAUAAACUUUACUGUCAUUUUAAUUCACCUGAUUUGUUAUGCAGCAAGAGAUAGCUAACACAUUACUUUCAGACAAGGUUGUGUGAGGAUAUGAUAGCUGGAACUACAGAAACCAUCUUCCUAACAGGAUGGGAUGAGCUUCAGAAAAAAAGUAAAGAGAUGAAAAGAACCUGGACCCUGCAUGACAUCAUUGAACCACUACAUCAACUAACCCAGGAACAACCUGUCUUUGAAUUUUUUUUAUGCAACAUUUUUGUGGCUGUCACUCAGGUUUUCUGCUCAUUGGUAGACAAAAGGUAAGGAGGUGCUUGAAAUUGGAACGGUGAAAGGAACCUUCACCGAAACCUGGAACUUUGGAAGAAUGGCAAGACUGAAAAUGAUUAGUGUUAAUUGAUUCCAGUUGUGGUAUGCUACCCAUAAGGUAUGACUAGAGACCAUUCCUCAUUCCUAGUUUGAGAAAUAGGAAGCCCUGCUUCCUUGUAUCUUGCUCAUUUCCAUAUCUUGGUUGUCUGUGCUAGUUAUUUAUUGCUUUAAAACAAACAAACCACCUCUGAACUCAGUGACUUAAAACAGUAACAGUUAUUUCUGUAGCUCGAAAAUGUGUAAUUUGGGCAGGAUUUCGUGGGGAAGGCUCAUUUGCUCCACAGAGCAUGAGGUAGGGCUGGAGGACCCACUUCUAAAACGGCUUGUUCACAUGCCCAGCAAGUGUGGUGUUAGGCUGUCGGGAGUGCUCAGCCAGGGGUGAUGGCUGGGAGCUUCUCUUCCUCUCCAGGUGGGUCUCUCCACAAUCUGUUGGAACUUCUUCAUGGCAUGGUGUCUGAGUUAUAAGAACAAGCAUCCCAUGAGAACCAGGUAGGAGCUGUAUUUUCUUUUCUGACCUAGCCUCAGAAGUCAUGAGGCUUCAUUUCCACUAUUGUCAUAAGUCUACGCAGACUCAAGAGGAGGAUGCAGAGAUGCCACCUUUCAAUGAGAGGAUUAUCUAAGUCACACUGAAGAAGAGCAUGUUGGACAGAAGACACUGUUGCAGUAUUUUUGGAAACUAAAGCCUACCCCAUUCUUCAAGCAUUACCAUCAAUUCUCUGUCCUCAGCAUUCUCCCCUUUUGCUUAUGUUAGCCAGAGUUGGUUUCUGCUUUUGCUUGUAACCGAAAAAUAAUGUAGCUGGCAUAAGCACAAAUGUAUCAGAAUAAGUAUAAAUAUUUAAAUUUCCUUAUUAAAAGACAGAAGCCCCGAAUUUGUAGAAACAAAGCAAAACAACCCUAAUAAAUUAAGAAUGUACAUGCUUUUAAAAUGUUCCACAGAAAAUUAACAACAUUGGACCAGGCCAAAAAGUACGUUUUUUAUAAUUUCCCCAAAGCAACAAUCAUACAUACCAUAUUGUUAGUAGAUUUCAACAUUCCUGUAACAGAUCCAUCUAAAUCUGUAAUUCUCAAUUAUUGAAACUUUUUCACUAGAAUGACUUUUGUUUCUCAUUAUACUUAAAGUUACUCCCAGAGGCCAACACAGGAAUUCAUCAUCAUUUUAAACAGCUCUCCUUUAGAAAAUAAAGCUCCAAUUUUCGUUUGUCCAAUUUCUCCAUCCUUCCAGCUCCCUGGAAGCCUUCACUGACAUUCCUGCUGCCUCACAAAGACUCCAUUUCUGUCUAUUAGGAAGCAUUCUUUAUUGUUUUCCAAUUGGUCUUCCCUCUUACUCUUCUUCUUCCCAGCUUUGUGCUGGACCUCAGAGUGCCUGAAGGAGCCUGAAUUUCCAUGUACUGUCUUCCAUAUAAUGUGAUCUGAGGUGAAGAAUGAAGAACAUUGUCCCUGGUGUUGAACUGCUUGAAGUCAAAUCCCAAAAUAGAAAAAGAAAAAGAUAAUACGAUAGUUUUAUUGUUUUUAUUUCUUGUUUCUCCCUGAUGGAGAGUUUUCUUUAAAAACCUAAUGCUUUUGGAAUAAUAAUGGCAACUGAUUAUAUCUCUUUUGUAUUAAAUAGGCUUGGAGCAAUUUUCUUAAUUAUCCAGCACGAUUUAAGCCCAAAGGCAAACACAACACUUUACCUAAAAUACCACUUUUACUAAAAAUUUGGCAAGCACUUUCCAAACAGCAUUUUCAUUCUUUGAGAAUUCCCUAACAUGUAUGCAUAGAAAUUUUAAUAUACAGCUGUAAUCCUUCAAUAUUUAUUGUAAAAGUUUCAUUGUUUAUUAUUUUUUGGAAUUUGCUUCAUCUGCUUAAAUCCUAAAGCGGUUUUCAAUGUAGUUGUAUUACGGCCAAGUGACUGACUUUUCAGCUUGCUUUUCCUUCAGUAUUUUUAGGCUCUAACCUAGUACCCUGCAACAGUACGUACACGCCUAGUCAAUGACGAACAUACUGUAACUGAAAUGAUGAAACGGCAUUUAUUCUGAUUAUCAAGACCUGUCCACACCAUGUCAAAAGCCUGGGAUGCUUUGCUUCCUGCUGGCUAUCUCAAUGUGCUUCCACUUUUCCCAUAUAACUUUUUUACAGAACUGGGUCCCUUUUAAUUUUAGAGUUUAAAUGUCCCAUACCCUACCAUACACGCAAAAUAAUUUUCAGUUUUUUAAUUUCAUAUUCAUACAUUUGAAUGGUAUAACCCCAGGUUAGCCAGAGCUGCGGGAGGAAGUGGGUAACCUAACUGGACCUUUACAUGAAGUCAUAGGGUAGAAAAAAUUAUCAGACUUUUCAAGCUGGACCUUAAAGAUAAGCAACUCCAACCCCCUCAUUUUACAGAUAAGGAAACCAAGGUCCAGAAACACUGUAUGACUUGCUCAGCGUUACAGAGUUAGCACAGGAAAGGGCUUUGGGAACUGAAGACUUUGUGCUAAAAAAAGAAAGAAAAAAAAAAAGUAAGGCCGUAUUUAUCAGUAUUAUCUCCCACCAGAUUCCCCAUAUACUGUUUCCUCUACUAUACCAUAUUGUGUCCCAGACAUUUAAAGUACUUUUCACUUAUGUUGUGCUUUUUAUCUUAAGGAAACCAUACAAGUACAGAACUUGUCGUAUUUCCCUUAAUAUGUGGGCUGCCUGAGAGCUCCAAGCUAAAUGAGUUGGUUUGCCAUGCCUGGUUCUGGCUCUUGUGUGGGAGAAAGUGCCAAAAAGGGAGUCAAGAAGAUUGGCUGAGUGGAUUCUUAAAGCCAGACUCAGGGAACAAAGUGAGGAAGGGGGACUUGUUUGGAUUCAUUAGCCAAAGAAAAUGGAGGCCAAACCUCUCCAGAAAUUUAACACACUCUCAUCGCACAAUUACGUGGAUAAUUUCUAAGCUAGAUGCUGGAAAAUACAUUCUCUUUUGAUUAAUACUUAAGACACUAUAUUGUGGUUGUUGUCUUUCUUUUCUAUCAUGGAGCUUUGGAUUAUAAAGAUCCUUUCUUGCUCAUCCCUUUUUCUUUAGUGCCUAGCAUAAUGCCACAAUAAAGUGGUGCAUAUUUUAAAAAUAAAUAAUAAAUCAGUGUAGUGACAUCAAUAAAGGUAGAUGGAACUAGCCACUUUAAAGCCAGAAAAUUCUGGGCAAAUCUUUUAAGUCCUCUAAGUGUCAACAUUUUGUAUUUGUUACACUUUUACAUGGCUAGUUGAUUCUGAGAAUAAACUAUGAGUCCCAUUCUACUCAAAGCUGAUAACAAAAAUUAAUUAUAGAUCCACCUUUCUCACCUAUUCACAGCGUGUAAAUUCAUUCACUCAUUCAUAUAUUCAUCCACAGAAAACAUGGAUUGAAUACAGAGAGCAUCAAGAUGGUCUCUGUCCUUUAUAAUUUAGGCAGUGUUUCUGCAAGUAUUAUCUCUGGUGCACUGACAUGAAAGCGGGGAGCAGGGCUUGAUUAACAUGUAGAUUCCCAGAGUAUGGGGGCCAGGGCUCAAGAAUAAACAUAAUGACACUUAGGUAAAAUUCACAGAGAGUAUAAGAGCUGAGAGGAGUGGAAAGGAUUGAGGGGCAGAGUCCAGGACGUGGAGAAAGGAAAGGAGGAUCCUAAAGCUGGUUGGACAGAGGUUCUAGACCUUUGUAGAUGUCAGCGAGUUAGUGAUUAAGUGAUGUUGUUAGUGAGCUAGUGACUUUUGUAGCUGUUAUUAGUGAGUUAGUGAGUAAGGAAGACCCUGAAAAGUUGCUUAGUAUCCUUUGUCUUCUACUCCGCCUCUCAUAAUGGAAACAGCCUGGCCACACCAUGUUGGAACUCUUCAAAGCUCUCACAGAAUCAGACAGAAGGCCUUUUUUGUUGUUGCAGAGUGCUAUGGUCUAAAUUUUUAUGUCUCCCCAAACUCAUAGGUUGAAAUCCUAACCCCUAGGAUGAGAAGUGGGGCCUUUGAAAAGUGAUUAGAUCUUGAAGGAAUAGCCCUCACGAAUGGGAUUAGUACCCCUAUAAAAAAGGCCAAAGAGAUGCUUGCCCUUUCCCCCAUACGAAGACACAGGGAGAAGGUGCUGCCGAUGAGGAAGCAAGGCUUCCUCAGACAUGGACCCUGAAGGCACCUUGAUCUUGGGCUUUCCAGCCUCCAGCAUUGUGAGAAACAAAUGUCUGUUGCUUUAUAAGCCACCCAGUUUAUGGUGUUUUGUUACAGCAGCCCAGAUGCACUAGGACAGGCUCAGCCAAAGCAAGAGUCAGCCUUGCUCCAAAGCUGGUAGAGCUAGCGCUUGGCUCUUCAGUGAUCUGCUAUCCUAUUAGUUCAUCCUUUUAAGCCAUGCCAGAACCUUUUACCUCUAGCAUAAUACCUAGAACAUGGGACAUUUUUAAGGUGAAUUCAUGUUUUGUCUCUGUCCACAGACUGACACAGUCUGGAGACACAGUCAUGAGUCCAUUCUAUGGUGACUUUUUUGUUAAAAGGAAACCGUUUUGUGUCACCUUUUGGCAGGUGACACAAAUUAGUUCAAGCCCAUCCUUCUCAGGUCAUGCCUUCCAGUUGCUCUGUUUUCUUUUUUCUUUUUUUCUUUAUGAGACAGAGUCUUGCUCAGGCUCGAGGGCAGUGGCACGACCUCGGCUUACUGCAACCUCCACCUCCCUGGUUCAAGUGAUUCUCCAGCCUCAGCCUCCAGCGUAGCUGGGACAACAGGCACAUGCCACCAUGCCUGGAUAAUUUUUGUAUUUUUAGUACAGACGGGAUUUCACCAUGUCGGCCAGGCUGGUUUUGAACUUCUGACCAGGUGAUCCACUCUCCUCAGCUUCCCGAAGUGCUGGGAUUACAGGCAUGAGCCACCGAGCCCAGCCUGCUGUUGCUCUGUUUUACGAUGGCUAUGUCCUGGGAAUAUGAGCAUCUCUCUGCUUGAAAUCUCAGCCUGAAAGCCUUCUGCAGUUUAGGAGGAAAAUUCCUUUGAUGAUUCUUUUAUUUUUUUUAACUCUUAUUUUGAAAAAUGCUAAACAUAUGCAAAAGUAGAGAAUGUAUCUGACUUCCCUGUAUAAUCACCAGUUUCAACAACCAUUAGAACGUCACUAUCCUUAUUUUUAACCUAUCUCUCCUCCCCAUGAUUUUUAUCUUUCCUAAACAAUUUUAAAACAAAUAUUUGACAUCAUGUCAUUUUACUUCUCAAUAUUUCAGUGUGGAACUUAAAACAAAAGUCAUCCUUUGAUGAUUCUUUUAUUUUUUUAACUCUUAUUUUGAAAAAUGCUAAACAUAUGCAAAAGUAGAGAGUGUGUCUGACUUCCCUGUAUAAUCACCAGUUUCAACGACCAUCAGAACGUCACUAUCCUUAUUUUUAACCUAUCUCUCCUCCCCAUGAUUUUUAUCUUUCCUAAACAAUUUCAAAACAAAUAUUUGACAUCAUGUCAUUCUACUUCUCAAUAUUUCAGUGUGGAACUUAAAACAGAAGGAGGGACUGAAAUAUGGGCCGUGUUCAGUGAUAUGCUCCCAAAACCUAGAAGUUGGAAAUGGGAAGUCACUUUACAAUGGAGAAGCCUAGUAAACAGCAAAGACUGCGUUGGCCAAGUGAUCAAGAUUAACCUCAACAGUGAUUAGCAAAUUCUUAUUAAGUCAGGUAUCACAUAGACCAGUGGAACACAAUAGAGAACCAGAAAUAAAGCUACGUACCUACAACCACUUGAUCUUCAACAAACCCAAAAGAAGCAAUGAGGAAAAGAUUCCCUAUUCAAUAAAUGGUGCUGAGAUAACUGAUGCACAUGGAUACAUAUGCAGAAGAAUAAAACUGGACUCCUACAUCGCCAAAUACAAAAAUUAACUCAAGAUGGACGAAAGACUUAAAUGUAAGUUCCCAAUCUAUUAAUAUAAAAACCCUAGAAGAAAACCUUGGAAUUACCCCUCUUGAUAUUGGGCUUGGCAAAAAAUUUUGGCUAAGUCCCCCAAAGCAAUGGCAACAAAACCAAAAAUUGAUAAAUGGGACCUAAUUAAAGAGCUUCUGCACAGCAAAAGAAACUAUCAAGGAAGUAAACAGCCUACAGAAUGAGGGAAAAUAUUCAUAAACUAUGCAUCCAACAAAGGUCUAAUAUCUAGAAUCUAUAAGACACUUAAACAAAUUAGCAAUCAAAGAACAAACCUGUUAAAAGGUGAGCAAAGAAUGUGAACAGUUUUUAAAGGAAGAUAUACAAGUGGCCAACAAACAAAAAAUGCUCAUCAUCACUGAUCCUCAGAUAGAUGCAAAUUAAAACCUCGGAGAGAUGCCAUCUCACACCUGUCAGAGUGUCUUUUGUUAAAAAAUCAAAAAACAACAGAUGUUGGCAAGGCUGUGGAGAAAAGGGGACACUUAUACACUGUUGGUGGGAUUGUAAAUUAGUCCAGCCACCGUGGAAAGCAAUUUGGAGAUUUCUCAAAGAACUAAGAGUUGAGCUACCAUUCGACCUAGAAAUGCCAUUACUGCCAUUACUGGGUAUACACCCAAAGGAAAAUUAAUUGUUCCAUCAAAAGGACACUUGCACCUGUAUGUUCAUUGAAGCACGAUUCAUAAUAGUAAAUAUAUGGAAUCAAUCUAGGUCUUCACCAAAGCGGGCUGGAUUAAAAAAGUAUGGUAUUAGCCAGGUAUAGUGGCUCAUGCCUGCAGUCCCACACUUUGGAAAUCCAAGGCAGGAGCAUUGUUUGAAACAUUGCUCAAGACUAA